GAUUUAAAGAAUCAAAAUUUUUUAACCAUAUAGUUUUUAUAAUACUAAAGUACCUUUUCAUCAUCGUUGACAUCAUCACAUUUGUUGCAUUUUUCUUGUGAUUCAUCACCACCGAUUUCAUUAGAACUCUCAACUAAUAAUGCCCUUUUCUCUUGUUCCUCGUCUUCAAUUGUGUUGUUUUUACCUGCAUUGUUAUUACUACCCUUGUUGUCCUUCAUCUCCGCUCUUGCUUUCAAUGCUUCGAGUAACUCCCAUACCGCCUUGUCUUUGUUCCUCCUGUUCUUGAUCAACA
rnacentral:misc_RNA from 1 species